GCUGCAAUCAAUUUUUGGCACUGACUUUUAUAUCCUUUAUUUAUCCAGUUAAAAAAAAUCUCACUGACAUUAAAAAUUUAUUUUUUAAGAGUAAUCUGGUCAAGAGGACAGCAGAUAUUGCAACAAAUGCAACAAUAGUUCUGUAAACAUAUUUGAAGUGAACAAAAAGGACUGGAUUGGUUAUAAUGUAAGUACAAUAAAACAGAGUUAUAAAGAUAUUUGAAAAACAGGUAAUUUUAAAAUUUUAUAUAUAACCCAAUUUAAACCCUGUUCACCGAAGUCUAUUUCCAAACAUACGUAAAGAUAGUACACAUAAAAAACACAGCAAACAUUGGAAAUCAGCUUUUGGCAGGCGAUCACUUUUUGGCACAACACCGGUCUGCGCUAUGAGCUGAACCAUUUUAUAAUGGUGGUGGGCGAAAAAACUGAAUAUAUGCAAUAUUUUCAGUUUUUUGAAUUUAUAUUCAAUUUUAAUUUUUGCUAGGCUUAAAGUGUUAAUGCUAUCUUGAUUUAAUAAACAACACUGUUACAUGCAAAACUAGGGUGGCACUAGGAGUAGCAAGAGAUCAUUUUAGGGUGGCACAUGCCACCCCAUGCCACCCCUGUAGAUCCGCCCCUGGGUGGUGAAGGCGUUUUUCGCAGAGAAAAAAAGUACUUUUGGAAAAGCUGGUAUCGGUGACUACAGACUACAGACUACAGGGCUCCUGCUAUUAUUGACCGAUAUACAGGAUUCAUCGCUCACUGUAAAGGUGACACAGAGUUCCCAAAAUAUAUGCAUUACCACUGCAUCAUUCACCAGCAGGCGUUAUGUGCAAAGGUGAUCGGAUUUGGGCACAUCAUGACUCCCAUCUUGAAGAUCAUGAACAGCAUCGGCUCAAAAGCUAAACAAACACAAAACAUUCAAGGUGCAUGUACAUUCACUUUAAUGAAAAUUAAAAAUGAGAAAUGUUAUCCUUGCUAACUUUUGAGUAUUGUGAUGGACCGAGCAGUGAAGGAACGGCAGGCACAGGUUAAAGUGGAAAAAAAAAGUUUUUUUUUAUUUGACCCUAAAACAAACUUGGUUAAAUUAUACAGAAAAUUCAAAAUCUUCAUAAAAGAGGUCAAAGUAACAGAACUCUUUGUUGCCAGAAAAGCUGGCAACAAACAAUACUACUAACUCAAAAAAUAACCUACCUACCUAAACGAGACAAAGAGGAAACUUAAACAGUGGCUAGUCAGCCAACAAAAACAUUGAAAGGCGCAGAACACACAAAACCCAACUAAAACUAACAUAACAAAUUCAAUUUCCCCCAUGAUCCAGAAUUGUGAUAUGACCCAAUUUGCAGGUCUCCACAUAGGCUUGCUCCGCCCCUUUCCACCUUUUAGCUCAUCAACCAAGGCACUGGGAGCAGCUGCCGCUCUGGUACACCUGAGGGGAUAUCUUUGGUUGCCAGUCUUGAGGAACACCAGCACAUAUCCAUACAUGAAAGAUGGAAGUUCCCGAUACUUAUUUUACACUUAAUGGAGUGCUAUGGAGAAAAGUGAGUAUUUUUUGUACAUAAACUAAAUCAGUUAUAAGGUUUUUUUGUUGUUGGCGGUGGUGAUUUGUGUGUGUGUGUGUGUGUGUGUGUGUGUGUGUGUGUGUGUGUGUGGCAUUUUCACUGUGGCUACAUUUGGGCUUUUUGGUCAGAACGUCAGGGACACUGCGCUGUGCUGGCCCAUGUAAAAUGACUCCAGUGGCAGCUCCUAAAGUGUGUGCGCUGGGGUGAUGAAAACAAAGAGGAUGAGUCAAAAAUGUUUGUUUUCUUCUUUUUUUUUUUCAAAGCUUCUGCUCUUUGUAUUUGUUUAUUUUACAAGAAAUCUACAGAAAAUUAAAUCUUUUGUUUAUCCAAUUUUAUUAAAUGCAACUGUUUUUGCUUGCAGCCCAACUUCAGGAAUAAAGUCAAUUUUGGCAUCAUCAAUAGUAGAUCAGUUUCCAUGUAGGACUGCUGUCACACAGGAUAUCUAAGUAUCUACACUUAAAUGAAUACACACAACAACAAUUAAAAAACCUGAAUAGUGGUCAGUUUUUCAGUCAGUAUACUGAGUGUCAUUGUGAUUCUAAAAAUAAAUAUACAGUUUGUAUGUACUCAAUUUCCAUGUCUUCAGAAAAUCUGGGAGACAAUCAUUUUUUGGCACAACACCAGCUUUAUUUCGUGUUGUUUUAGUAGCAACCAAUGCUUUGUCCCAGAGCACAUUUUGAACAGCACCAUGGGCAUUUCAGAUUUCACACAGGUGGUUGGUUGUUACACUCAGGAAAUGGAAUGAAGGCGAGUGUUAUCAAUCCACUGGGGUCAGCGAAUGUGCUGCACCUACACAUCACAUGACCGAUUUAGGAUGAAAUAGCAACAAGCUGCAGCUUGUGAUGAAAGUUCUGAAUUCAAAAUAUACACCAGUUUUUACAUUUAAUGACAGGCCACUAAAUAUAUAGUUAUGAUAAAAAAAAGUUUGGAAUAUAUAAAUAUAUGAAAAGGACCAUUGUUUUUACAGACGUGUCUAAUUUCUGAUGAACAGGAGCAAUGCACUUAACUUGGAGGAGAGAAAAAAAGCCUCAAAGUGUCAUUCCGGUACAAAUUUCAGAGCUGGUACUGAUACUGUCAAUAUCUAGAUCGAUCUGCCCACCCCUAUCUACCAUUAGGCUGUGGUUGUGAUUCUCAGUCAGAUCGUACAGUCCACUAUGGUGGUAGAUUUGCUCCAUCUGUGCCUUUGUAUUUCUUCAGUAUUCUCUCUUUAUACUGACUCCAGUUUUUAAUUUCAUGUACAGAACACAGACACACACCAUGUUCACUCACCCGAAGGGUUUACCAUUUUAGCCUCGUGUAUCUUCCAGCAUCCAACCGGUGUUGUGCCUAAAACACCUCGGCCUCACAAUUAUCUGCAGAACUCAGUACCAACUGAAAGUUCAAUGGCCUGCUCAUUCUCCACCCACCCACACACACGCACACCAGCAUAUUCCCUCUCCGCAUGUAAGAUGAGUCCAUUGCAUCUCCAUGAACAAACUAACACUGUGUUGCCUUUUCCGAGAUUCUCAGUUCCUCUCAGAGUUCCUGAAAACAGUGGUUCUAUUCUAAUGGCGCUCCACCAAAUGCAAACUUCCAUCCAUGAUUCAUAUGGAAUACCCAGCUGAUGCAUAAACAAUUUUGAAACCUGGACCAGGUGUAGAAAGUGUAAACAUAGUGUACAUAAGCAUGUUUCACUAUGUUAUUUAACAAUAUCUGUCAAUUACUGGUCAACCUAAUGGCUUUACAGCGAAUGCUACUGUCGUAAAUCAAAGAAAGGUGUCAGGAGGGCUCCUUGUCUGAACCAUGUUACUUUUAGUGUGUGUGGCAGAUGGUGGAUAACACCUUUGUCAGUAUGAAGCCUGUAAAACUCUCGAUGACUCUGGCUCGGAUUAAAGUAAUCAGAUUGUCAGAUUAUAAAUGUGACCUUGAGCUUCAGCACAGUGUCCAUGAGGACCCAUUAGGUUAAUGUGUGCAAGUUUGGUUAAAUUCUGACCACUAGUUGUGAUAUUUGUGAUUCUUGUGAACUACAAAUGGACAGACAGAUGUCUCACCACAGCUCGUUUUGCUGGAUGAGCUGAAAGCUCGGGACUAUCUGAUCUCCAUGAGUUGCACUCCAGUGCUUCCAAAAGUAACAUGAACAGUGGAAUAAUUAUGGUCUUGUUUUUCUGCAAUUUUCACACUUGGCAAAGACAGGUAGGUCAAGUGGGUCUUGUCCAGUGGCUGCCAAAUAAUGAGCUGAAAACAUUAACAGAGGAUUUAUAUCAAAGAUUUACUUCCUGUGCGGCUCUCCAGCCACCUUCCUUUAACACAGCCAACUGAUCAUAAAAACAUAAAAGCAGAUAAGGCAGAAAAAAACAUUACACAACAGUUACACAGUAAUAAAGCAUCAGCUGCUUUUUCACCCAUCCUGUCCUUGAAAAUGGUACUUCACCAUUUUCAGAGAAAUGUGCAGAAAUGCAUGUAUGUGUAUAGACAACCUCCCUCCUUCCCUCCCCCACAUUUAGUCUGGUGCUGAUUUUCAUGAUUUGGUAAACCAAUAACACCCAUAUUGCUUCCACAUUCAAAACAGCUUGAGAUUAACCAAAAUUGCCACAGCAACUCAGGUUUAUUGCUCAACAUCAGCAUUUUGUGGCCGAACGUGAGGAAAACCCAGCAUCUGUGGUUCCCACACAGUCAGAAAAGGGAGUAAAUUCUAGAUGUUGAAGUUAAUUUACUGACUGCUGAUUUGCUACUCUGUGUUUCAACCACACUGAGUGAAGCUCAGGCAGUGUUUGUCUCCACCUAGUGACUGUUCCACGUCACAUGUCACAUCUGAAAUUUUUGUGGUGAGCAAAAUCAGAGCAAGCACAAGCAUGAAAACUGCUUCUGGCUUAACUUUAAUUCUGAAGAAAGCAAUGCACAUUUACAGUUACAGACACAUUAAUAUAAAAUGCAUUAAUAUCAUUCCCCUUAAUAUAUAAUUUUGUAAGUAUUAAAUGAUCAUGAGGUACUCAUCACUUGAAGAAAAGCAAA